rnacentral:rRNA from 1 species
UACCAGCACCCCGAGUGGUCGGGACGUUUUAUUGGGCCUAAAGCAUCCGUAGCCGGUUCUACAAGUCUUCCGUUAAAUCCACCUGCUUAACAGAUGGGCUGCGGGGGGAUACUACAGGGCUAGGAGGCGGGAGAGGCAAGCGGUACUUUAUGGGUAGGGGUAAAAUCCGUUGAUCCAUAGAAGACCACCAGUGGCGAAGGCGGCUUGCCAGAACGCGCUCGACGGUGAGGGAUGAAAGCUGGGGGGAGCAAACCGGG